rnacentral:ncRNA from 1 species
UUCUGUGAAGAGGCAGAAAUUUAAUAAGACAAGAAUACCCUAUGGCGCUUAAAGUAACAUUACAAUUAUUUUCACCAUCAACUACCAGAAUUAAAACAAUAAUAACAUGGAAUCUAAAUUUUGGUUGGAGUGACCUCGGAGCACAAAAUAACUUCUGAAAGACCAUCAUUAGGACCUAAAAGUCUAAUUUACUCAAUUCUCAUUCUUGACCCAGAAUACAUCUGAUCAAUGGACCAAAUUACCCUAGGGAUAUCAGCACAAUCCUAUUAGAGACUCAGUAUCGAUAAUAAGCUUUAUGACCUCGAUGCUGGAUCAGAACAUUCUAAUGGUGCAGCAGCUAUUAAAGGUUCAGUUGUUCAACUAUUAAAGACCUAUGUGAUCUGAGUUCAGACCAGAAAAUCCAGUUCAGUUUCUAUUUAG